rnacentral:siRNA from 1 species
UGUAAGCCUACAAUGGAGCUUCA